rnacentral:rRNA from 1 species
UACGUAGGCAGCGAGCGUUGUUCGGAGUUACUGGGCGUAAAGCGUGCGUAGGCGGUGUUCCAAGUCUGUUGUGAAAUCUCCCGGCUUAACCGGGAGGGUGCGGCGGAAACUGGGAUGCUGGAGUGCGGGAGAGGUAAGCGGAAUUCCCGGUGUAGCGGUGAAAUGCGCAGAUAUCGGGAAGAACACCCGUGGCGAAGGCGGCUCUCUGGGACGGUACUGACGCUGAGACGCGAAAGCGUGGGGAGCGAACAGG